AUGCAUUUUACUCUCUUAUUUAUAUACACGAACAACCCCACCCAACACCGAGAUACCCCAAAGGCCCAAAGACCCGACAGAUUCGCGAGAGCUCGAGAGAGUGCGACCAAAAUGGCGAUGAGAUGCGCGCUGACCUCCCUCCCCGCGCGCCUCCGGUCCCCGGCGGUGGUCGCCAGCGGGACCCGGCGCCUUCUGAGUGACGGGAAGGGGCGCGUGCUCAGCGAGGAGGAGCGCGCCAAGGAGAACGUCUACAUCCAGAAGAUGGAGAGGGAGAGGCGGGAGAAGCUCAAGAAAAAGCUCGAACAGGAGAAGGAUGCGGCCGACAAGGCUAAGUCCGGCGCCGACGGCAAGAAGGCCGAGGGAACUAACUAG
rnacentral:rRNA from 1 species